rfam:Ancylostoma ceylanicum strain HY135 Acey_s0121_scaf, whole genome shotgun sequence.
GGAUGGCUCAACGGUAAAGCGUCAGGCUAACAAUCUGACACUCGCCGGUUCUAGCCCGGUGGAGAUCCA